rnacentral:rRNA from 1 species
CAACCUGCCUAUAACUAGGGAAUAACCUUGCGAAAGUAAGACUAAUACCCUAUGAUUUCCUUUGAUGACAUCAGAUUAGGAAUAAAGAUUUAUCGGUUAUAGAUGGGGAUGCGUCUGAUUAGCUUGUUGGCGGGGUAACGGCCCACCAAGGCAACGAUCAGUAGGGGUUCUGAGAGGAAGGUCCCCCACAUUGGAACUGAGACACGGUCCAAACUCCUACGGGAGGCAGCAGUGAGGAAUAUUGGUCAAUGGGCGGAAGCCUGAACCAGCCAAGUAGCGUGCAGGAUGACGGCCCUAUGGGUUGUAAACUGCUUUUAUACAGGAAUAAAGUUAGCCACGUGUGGUUAUUUGUAGGUACUGUAUGAAUAAGGACCGGCUAAUUCCGUGCCAGCAGCCGCGGUAGUACGGAAGGUCCAGGCGUUAUCCGGAUUUAUUGGGUUUAAAGGGAGCGUAGGCCGUCUGUUAAGCGUGUUGUGAAAUGUAGAUGCUCAACAUCUGAAUUGCAGCGCGAACUGGCAGACUUGAGUGUGCGCAACGUAGGCGGAAUUCGUGGUGUAGCGGUGAAAUGCUUAGAUAUCACGAAGAACUCCGAUUG